rnacentral:rRNA from 1 species
UACGUAGGGGGGCAAGCGUUGUCCGGAUUUAUUGGGCGUAAAGAGCGUGUAGGCGGCUAUGCAGGUCCGUUGUGAAAACUCGAGCUCAACCUCGAGACGCCGAUGGAAACCGCAUGGCUAGAGUCCGGAAGAGGAGAGUGGAAUUCCUGGUGUAGCGGUGAAAUGCGCAGAUAUCAGGGAAAGAACGCCCCGUGGCUAAGGCGGCUCUCUAGUACGGUACUGACGCUGAGACGCGAAAAGCGUGGGGGAGCGAACAGG